AUUGAACGCUGGCGGCAUGCCUUACACAUGCAAGUCGAACGGCAGCACGGGUGCUUGCACCUGGUGGCGAGUGGCGAACGGGUGAGUAAUACAUCGGAACAUGUCCUGUAGUGGGGGAUAGCCCGGCGAAAGCCGGAUUAAUACCGCAUACGAUCUACGGAUGAAAGCGGGGGACCUUCGGGCCUCGCGCUAUAGGGUUGGCCGAUGGCUGAUUAGCUAGUUGGUGGGGUAAAGGCCUACCAAGGCGACGAUCAGUAGCUGGUCUGAGAGGACGACCAGCCACACUUGGACUGAGACACGGCCCAGACUCCUACGGGAGGCAGCAGUGGGGAAUUUUGGACAAUGGGCGAAAGCCUGAUCCAGCAAUGCCGCGUGUGUGAAGAAGGCCUUCGGGUUGUAAAGCACUUGUGUCCGGAAAGAAAUCCUUGGCCCUAAUACGGUCGGGGGAUGACGGUACCGGAAGAAUAAGCACCGGCUAACUACGUG
rnacentral:rRNA from 1 species